rnacentral:other from 3 species
CAAAUCCGGCUGUGUACGUGAAGACGACCGAUAUGUUUUGAGCCAACAUCAGAACAUAGGGAACCUGAUCCGCAGUUAAUGGCCGUCCGGCCCUGAAGUUAGGGGACUGCGAAAGUUAACGGGAGGUGCCCACCUGCGUAAUGCAGGUUCAAAACGUCGGGGUUGCACGGCAUGGCGGGGCUAAG